AGGCUAUGAUAGCUGAUGAAGAAUUAUGUUCCUCUUAAGGCAAUAAGAAAGGAACGGAAGAAGAAUGAAGACUCAGAUACUCACAAAAGACUACCACUUGCUUUCUUUCUGCUUCAUUCAGAAUAUUGUCCAAAGAUCAAGAGUGAAUCACGGGGCUUGUCCACUGGGAAUGUAGCAAGGAAAUUGGGUGAGAUGUGGUUUGAGCAGACAGCCCAAGAUAGACCACCAUGUGAAGAGAAGGCAGCUGAACUAAAGGAAGUAUGAGCUACAGGAUAUUGCAUGCCUUGAGAGGGCAGAGGUGAUGCAAGAUAGAAGGGCCCUGGAGGCUCAACAAAGAAUGAAAAGAUGAAGAAGAGGAGGAAGAGGGGAAGGAGGAGGUAGAAGAAGAAGGAGGAGGAGGAGAGGGGGAGGAGAGGAGAAGGAGGAG
rnacentral:lncRNA from 1 species